rnacentral:rRNA from 1 species
CAGCAGCCACGGGAAUACGUAGGGUGCAAGCGUUAAUCGGAGUUACCGGGCGUAAAGCGUGCGCAGGCGGUUUUGUAAGACAGAGGUGAAAUCCCCGGGCUUAACCUGGGAACUGCGCUUGUGACUGCACAGCUAGAGUAUGGCAGAGGGGGGUGGAAUUCCACGUGUAGCAGUGAAAUGCGUAGAGAUGUGGAGGAACACCGAUGGCGAAGGCAGCCCCCUGGGCCAAUACUGACGCUCAUGCACGAAAGCGUGGGGAGCAAAUGGGAUUAGAUACCCCUGUAGUCCCUGUCUCUUAUAC